CCUACGGGAGGCAGCAGUGGGGAAUAUUGCACAAUGGGCGAAAGCCUGAUGCAGCAACGCCGCGUGAGCGAUGAAGGCCUUCGGGUCGUAAAGCUCUGUCCUCAAGGAAGAUAAUGACGGUACUUGAGGAGGAAGCCCCGGCAAACUACGUGCCAGCAGCCGCGGUAAUACGUCGGGGGCUAGCGUUAUCCGGAAUUACUGGGCGUAAGGGGUGCGUAGGUGGUUUCUUAUGUCAGAGGUGAACGGCUACGGCUCAACCGUAGUAAGCCUUUGAAACUGGGAAACUUGAGUGCAGGAGAGGAGAGUGGAAUUCCUAGUGUAGCGGUGAAAUGUGUAGAUAUUAGGAGGAACACCAGUUGCGAAGGCGGCUCUCUGGACUGUAACUGACACUGAGGCACGAAAGCGUGGGGAGCAAACAGGAUUAGAUACCCGUGUAGUC
rnacentral:rRNA from 1 species